UUCCUGAAGUGUGUAACGUUCAGCCAAUCACAUGUGGCCAAUUGAUCAGCUGCUUGACACAUGCUACUCAUGCACAAGGGCCACAUAUUGUGUGAAGGCAAGAUUUCACUUAGAGCAUGUCAGAAGAGCCAUAAUGCGAAGAAGGAAGCCAAGAAUCCGGCCUGUUGAUGAUGCAACAUCACACAUUCUUUCUUCGGGAGAUAAGCAGGGGCUUACUCAAAACGUCAUUGAUGAUUACAAAGCAUUGAUGCAUCCAGAGAAGAUGGGUCACUUGGACGAUUAGCGAAUGACGACCACAAAUCACCAAACUGUGUCAUGAAAAAAGUUAGUGUAAAUGACAGAGUACAUUUGUGCCUGUUUGCUCUGAGAAACAUAGAACCAGGAACUGAAAUUGUCUACAACUAUGGGGACUCAAAAUGGCCCUGGCGUAAAAAGGAGAACCUUGAGAAUGCCAACGUUGGGUCAGAUGAACCCAAGCUGUUCCCGGAUCAUGUUACUACUCAGGAGAACCUUGAGAAUGCCAACGUUGGGUCAGAUGAACCCAAGCUGUUCCCUGAUCAUGUUACUACUCAGGAGAACCUUGAGAAUGCCAACGUUGGGUCAGAUGAACCCAAGCUGUUCCCUGAUCAUGUUACUACUCAGGAGAACCUUGAGAAUGCCACCGUUGGGUCAGAUGAACCCAAGCUGUUCCCUGAUCCUGUUACUACUCAGGAGAACCUUGAGAAUGCCACCGUUGGGUCAGAUGAACCCAAGCUGUUCCCUGAUCCUGUUACUACUCAGGAGAACCUUGAGAAUGCCACCGUUGGGUCAGAUGAACCCAAGCUGUUCCCUGAUCCUGUUACUACUCAGGAGAACCUUGAGAAUGCCACCGUUGGGUCAGAUGAACCCAAGCUGUUCCCUGAUCCUGUUACUACUCAGGAGAACCUUGAGAAUGUCAACGUUGGGUCGGAUGAACCCAAGCUGUUCCCUGAUCAUGUUACUACUCAGGAGAACCAUGAGAAUGCCACCGUUGGGUCAGAUGAACCCAAGCUGUUCCCUGAUCCUGUUACUACUCAGGAGAACCUUGAGAAUGCCAACGUUGGGUCGGAUGAACCCAAGCUGUUCCCUGAUCAUGUUACUACUCAGAGACCGUUGACUCACAAGAUUGUCCCCAAGAGAACAGUGAAGGUAUGCUGGAAGGAGAGGAGACAGAAGAUGCAACUUUUUUGUCAGAAGAAGUACAGGGAUCAGAGGAUGAGACUGCAUCAACCCUGCUAGAAGGUACCGCCUCUGUGAACUCCAAAAAGAAGAGAUUGGCAAGAAAGAGAGGAAUAUCAGAAGACGAAGCCACACCUCUCACAACAUCCGGCACAAAGAAAAGCAAGCCAUCAAGAAAGAAAGGUACAAAACCUGCCAUCAGAAGACCAUGGACACCAGAGGAGUGUGCAGCAAUUAAGAGGCAAUUGAGAAGGUUUUUAAUAAUGAAUAUGACACCGGGUAAGGCAGAUUGUGAAAAAUGCCUUUCCGAAGAACCCGAGGCACUCAAAAACCGAGACUGGAAGGCAGUAAAAUACUUUGUGAAAAACAGAAGUUAUGAACAGAGAAAGAAAUCGAUGUAAGAAAAAAUAGGAAAGGUUUUUUUCUCAUCUCUUGGAUUUUUGGAUUGAUGCAAAAGUCAGGUUUUAUUACCAUGCAAAAUGGUAGAAAUGUUCACAAUACAGUUCACAAAGGUUCAACCUAUGCCUGCCUUCGGCAUUCAAGCUAUUGUUAAAAAAAUGUUAAGUUGUUGCUGUUUGAUUUCGAUUUUCAUAUUCACGUCAUAAGAACUGAAACUACCGAUGGCAUUAUGGUCUUUUUUUGUCACUGUACCAUAACAAGUAAUACUCAAAGUUGAAUAAAAGUGAGAAAUGUGAGUAAA